CCUGAGUAGAAGGAAACACACAGCUCCCCCAGAGCAGAGGGGCCCGCGAGAGGGAAAGCUGGCCCAGGCCCAGGGCAGGCUCGCCUCUGACUCUGCAGGGACAUUCUUUCCUCCCAGCCAGCAGGGAACUUCUGGAACUUCUAAACAGCACAUCCUCGAGCCAGCCCAGGCCCCCACGGCAUCCUGCACCCCAGGUUCACAAGCUUUUUAGUGAAACCAGAGCACCACAGCCAGCUCUAGCCCGGAGGGAAAGUAAGAGGAUGUUUUUGCAGCAGGUGUCCUUUCUCCUGUAACUACUAAACUGUCGCCCCUCACUAAAGAGGAUGCCUUUGCCUACGCUGUCCCCACCCCUUGAAGCAAGCUUCCUCCUCUAUUGGGAUAGGUAACUUUUUUUUCUUCAAUAAUUCUUUAAUGUUAUAAAAUACCUGCCAGUGUUCACAUUUCCCUGAAUGAUUUUUAAUUCUUUUUCCUUUUUUAGUAUGUUUGUUUGAAGUAGGAAUCUAAACAAGAUCUAUAUAUUGUGAUUAAUUGAUAUGUCUCUGAAGUCUC
rnacentral:lncRNA from 1 species